rnacentral:rRNA from 1 species
AUACCGCGUGAGGGAUGAAGGCCUACGGGUUGUAAACCUCUUUUCUCAAGGAGGAAGAUCUGACGUUACUUGAGGAAUAAGCAUCGGCUAACCCUGUGCCAGCAGCCGCGGUAAUACAGGGGAUGCAAGUGUUAUCCGGAAUUAUUGGGCGUAAAGCGUCUGCAGGUUGAUAUUUAAGUCUUUUGUUAAACCUCCGGGCUCAACCCGGAAUCUGCAAAGGAAACUAUCUAUCUUGAGUAUGGUAGGGGUAAAGGGAAUUUCCAGUGGAGCGGUGAAAUGCGUAGAUAUUGGAAAGAACACCAACAGCGAAGGCACUUUACUGGGCCAGUACUGACACUCAGAGACGAAAGCUAGGGGAGCAAACAGGAUUAGAUACCCUGGUAGUCCUAGCUGUAAACGAUGGAUACUAGAUGUUGUGUACCUUAGGGUAGGCAGUGUCGUAGCUAACGCGUUAAGUAUCCCGCCUGGGAAGUAUGCUCGCAAGAGUGAAACUCAAAUGAAUUGACGG